UAAGUAGGGUUUCAUAAUUCACUCUUUCUCUUCACUUCAUCCGCCACAGCCCUUAAGACCCUGAAAAUGUUGUAUUUGCCAGUCUUCAACCAUUGUGUCAUCUUGAAAUUAUUUUGGGUAAUCAAUUCGUUGCCUUAGAUCAUGGAUGGAUCUGUUCAAAUCAUCUCAAACAACUUGCAGAAUUGUGCUCUCCGGUUGCUGGGACCUACAACUCUUUUUGGUGCUUCAUUGAGGGUUUUAGACCCCUGAACAAAAUUACAACUCUGAUUAUAACUGGUAAGGAGAUAAUGGGAUGCACAGAAUCGCAAGUAAUCAGGUUGUAAUUUCUUCUUCAGGUGUAUCGCUUGCAUAACUUAAGUAAACCCUCUCCUAUACUACGAGUCCUUUUUGUUGGUUGUAUUAAAAUAGGCUAGAUAGCUAUGUACAGUUUUUGUUGCCUUUAAGGCAUGUAAAUUCUUGCUACUGGACAAGUUAAGCUUUAGCUUUUU